ACCCUAACUUACACCCUAGUCUCUCGAGUUCCAUUCACACUCUACACAAGUGAAGAGCUUCUUCCUUUCUCCGUCUACGCUCUCUCCAUCGCACGAGGUUCUUUCACCACUGCCGCCGUCGGAUCUCAUCACUGACCUUAGCAACGGCCGUUCGCUGGUUAUCCUCAUCCGGUGUUCAGGAAUCACUGCACUCAUCCUUCAGGGAAGAUCUCUGCCUUUGGUGGUCGCGGAGGUAGUUACGUCGUCGUCAUUCUCACCGCUCUGGGCCCAUCCGCCUCCUUCAUGCACAGUGUCAUCUCCCUCCAACUUUGCGACGGCACCGCUGGCUGCCGCCCGGCCAACCACAGCCUUUGUAAACGAGUAAGGUGGCUUUGGCGGUGGACGAUUCAAGCCCUCCGCUGCUACUCUACUACCCUGGAUGGCAACGUCCUCCUCAGCUCGGCCCGAGCCGUUUCCUCCAAAUGCGCCAAAUGUAGAUCCAGGUGUUCUUCUCUUGUGUGUUCUGGAAUGAGAGCUUUGCUGAAUUGUUGCUGAGUAGUGAAAAUUCUGUGUUUGAUUUGGCCUGAAUCUGGAAAAUUGGAGGCUCUUGGAGUCGUUGAUGAUCGUUGAUUUGGUUGUGGUUACUGUUCUAAGGUCGUAUAAUGAGACUGCAUUUUUGGUUUGGGAAGGAGAAGGAGUCAUAACUUAUGGCCGAAAACUAAUUGGAGCCACUGAUCCACAAAAAUCUGCACCUAGAACUAUUGUUAAAUAUUGACUCUUAUUUAGGUCACAGACCCAGAUAACUCAUCACAGAGCCUUUAUGAAGCUUGGACUAGUUUUGGCACCUCUCCUUUAUUGGAAGAUUAGGUGGUGGAGGAUCAGAUUAUAAACCUUUUGUGCAGCAUGUGGGAAUUCCAUCAAUUGAUAUAGCCUUUGGAGGAGAAAUUUGGAGAUCCUAUGUUUCAUAGGCAUGUUGUAGGUUGGUGACAUUCAAUUUUCUUUUUCAGUUUAUGUCACAUUAAACUCCAUCUCAGUUUACUCUAAUGAUAUCAAAAUGUUUCUUGAAGAGUUAAGAAUUUAAUAAUUACAUAUACAACUACAGGUUAAAAUAUGUUAACUUUUCCGCAAUUAGUAUAUUCACAACAUAUACACAUAGUGUUACAAAUGGGAAAGUUCUGUUAUCAUGUUUGACACUUCAUAUGACCUUAGUUGAUACGAGAAUUUUUUUUUCGCAUUGAAUCGAAUCAAAUCCUAACAAGUGGUAACAGGAUCUAUGUCAUUUCAUACAUUAUGCGAAAGAAUAGGUGAAGGAACUAUAAAAACCACAAGAGAAACUAUAACUACAUAUACUUAGUUCACUUGAAUGACAAUUGGCUCUAUUGUGAAAAACAACUGCAAGUGUUUGGGGUCUAGUAGCAUUAUGGCUAGCAGAUGAGGAGUUCUUACCUUUUGAUUAUCAAUCCUAUGCUAAGGAGCUCCAGGUGUGUUAACUUUGUACUUUUUACACUCAGACUGUUGUCACUGAAUUCGACGUGGCAAUAUAGUGCCAUAUAAUCUAUGUAGCCGACCUCACAUUAUGAGAUAAGGAUCGUUGUAACUGAAUUUUAUAAAGAUAUUCAUGAAACCAAAAUGUUUGAAUCCCAGCUUAAUGUGAAGAACUUGGAAGAUGAGAUUUCAAAUAAAGACAUGAAUUUGUCUCCUAUAUUGAAGUCAAUCAAGGAGCUUGAGAAAGCAGCAAUCAAGAUAAAUGACCAGAGAAAGGAAAUAGAAGCAAGUAAAGGUUGGAGAACAUGGAAAGAGUACCAAAUGAAAGUGAGAGAUGUGAAUGAUAGACUUAUGAUGGUUGAACAUGUAUUCACUGACAGAGAUGGCCUCUUAGGAAUGACAUGGCGUAAGCAUUUGGGUUCUAACUUCUGAGAAAGAUGAAAUUGAAGAAACCAAACAAGUAAAGCAGAGAAGAAACAUCAAACAUGACUACUGCUGUUGGAAUCACAGAAUUUAUUGGAGCAGAGAUGAUUAAGAAAGCAAUUUCUUUGGCCUGGAAGGCUCACAAGACACCAGAAAAACUUUUCAUUCUUGAAAAGGAUCGCAAAGGGGACCCUCAACAAGUGUUCAUCAGCUUCCCAGCAUCAGGUUCUGCAAAAGAUUGGUACUCUCAGAAGCCUUUUGGGGAAGUCCCAAUAGACCCUGAUCUGUUCCCAUCACUUAAAAGCAUUGGUUACAAUGAUGCUGCUAAAGUAAAAGAAGCUUUUCAAGGAAGGUUCCAAGCUAUUUUGUCCAAGCCGUUACUUGAAACUGAGUUAGUUACCUUUCUCUCUUGGUUCUCAGAAGAUUACAGAGAUCAUCAAGAAAUAAUAUGAUAAACUGUAUAAAAUAUUUGGAGACGUUCCUCUUCCGACAAAAAACCUUUGGUUUAAGGAGUGGAAGGUUUAUAUACAAGGAAUGAAGCUAAGCGAGACUACCUUGGGAAAUUUAAAAAAAGAGAGUGCUAAUAAAGUGAAUCAAUUAGUGAUGAGCCUGUUGGAUUGUAUUGUCCUUUUGAACUGUGCAAGUGUACAUACAAAUAAUACAAUGAAUGAGAUUUACUCUGUUCAAUCUUGCGAAGGAGAUUGCUUCCAAAGUUGUAAUAUUCCUUUCAAGAAAUGUAGAUUUCAAUCAAUUGGUUGAGUUAUCUCUAUCUGCCAGUCUACCAUGGUCACUAGAGGUGGAGAAAGUUCACUUAAAUGGAAAACUGAAGGCGACCGCUGCGUAUUUCAGCGACACAAGAGUUGGAGGUUGCUCGGUGAAUAAACACAUUCGCUUCUGCUCAAGCUCAAGUGAUGAAGAAUCAGGAUUAUCCCUGCAAUGAAAUAGUUUUAGUAUAGUUGAACAAUAUACUGUGAAUUAUAGUUGAUGAUUAAUACACUUUGUUUAUGUUUUAAAUUAUAUUGACUUGCUUGUUUAUAGUA